rnacentral:rRNA from 1 species
CUGACAUAAGUAACGAUAAAGCGGGUGAAAAGCCCGCUCGCCGGAAGACCAAGGGUUCCUGUCCAACGUUAAUCGGGGCAGGGUGAGUCGACCCCUAAGGCGAGGCCGAAAGGCGUAGUCGAUGGGAAACAGGUUAAUAUUCCUGUACUUGGUGUUACUGCGAAGGGGGGACGGAGAAGGCUAUGUUGGCCGGGCGACGGUUGUCCCGGUUUAAGCGUGUAGGCUGGUUUUCCAGGCAAAUCCGGAAAAUCAAGGCUGAGGCGUGAUGACGAGGCACUACGGUGCUGAAGCAACAAAUGCCCUGCUUCCAGGAAAAGCCUCUAAGCAUCAGGUAACAUCAAAUCGUACCCCAAACCGACACAGGUGGUCAGGUAGAGAAUACCAAGGCGCUUGAGAGAACUCGGGUGAAGGAACUAGGCAAAAUGGUGCCGUAACUUCGGGAGAAGGCACGC